rnacentral:lncRNA from 1 species
CUGGAGGGGCCUCCCUCGCCCGCCUGUCUUCGCCGGCGCUGGUCUCCCGCACCCGGGUCUGCAGUCCCUCCGCCAUCUCGCAGGAGCCCCUGUUUUAAGAAGGAGGCCAAAUGUGCAGGCUCAGGCCAAGGGGCAGAGAUGAAUGAGGCGAUGACCACAGCCUUGAUCCGGCAAGAGCUCAGAGAUGCCCGGGAAGACGGGAAGACUGGGGGCCCGAACGGAAGCAGAAAAACACUUAUGGCCGCUGGGGAGUUGGGAGAGCCAGGCUGGGGCUUCGGCAGGCCCAGGGAAAGUUCCCUUUCUAGGCUCUUUAUUAAAAAAUUUAGAAGGAGGAGUUGAGGCGCCUUGAAUUUUCCUUCGCGAGUUUGGAGACUAGCCGAUUUUUCAUGAAGCAAGCAAAGACCGCGGUCCCGGAUCCGGCAACAUCUACCUCAUUCUCUCCAGGCCUCUCCACUUGCCCGAGCUCUCAGCCACCAGGAGACAGAAGGAAGGGACUUCUGGGCUGCGUUGGGAGCGGGCACUGUCCCCUAUCUACUCCUGCUCGGUUUCCCAAAGUCCAGCGACAUCCGACCCUCCUGGGGGGAAAAAUACCAGUACCCAGACACCUCUGCACCCUGUUAUAUGACUGGGCUUGCUUCAGGAAUAUCUUACAAAGAAGAAGAAGAAGAAGAAGAAAGAACAGCUUGGAGUCAUGUUUACAUCUAGUUCUACUGACCGGUUCCCAUCUGGAGAGUUUAUUUAUAACUCCCUCUAUAACUCUCUGUUUGGAGGCACUGGUGGCUCUAUUGACAGACUGAUGUCUAGGAAAUAUUGCUCUAUGUCUAACCGUACCUAAAUGUGCUGUGGUUGUAUUUACAGAUUUAUGUUUGAGGGAAAUAUAAUUAUUUCCAUUGUAUUUGUGCAUAUACAGUAGUUAUAGGAGCAGAUUUAUAUAUGGGAAAAUAUACGACUCUCUUACAGCCAUCCGGCUUUAUGUACAUGUGAUAUCCUGACAGAUUUAUAUCUCUGAACAGCUAUAUAGAUAAAAACGUAUAUUGUUAGAAUU